GGCUGGGCCCUGCGCGGCCUGGCUCCGUGAACCGAGUCAGGGUCGGAAGGCAGCAGCUCUCAGCGGAUCACCAGGGGUGCCGCAGUAAGUCUGGCCAUC
rnacentral:SRP_RNA from 1 species